rnacentral:rRNA from 1 species
CAGCAGCCGCGGUAAUACAGAGGGUGCAAGCGUUAAUCGGAAUUACUGGGCGUAAAGCGCGCGUAGGUGGUUUGUUAAGUCGAAUGUGAAAUCCCCGGGCUCAACCUGGGAACUGCAUCCGAAACUGGCAAGCUAGAGUAUGGUAGAGGGUAGUGGAAUUUCCUGUGUAGCGGUGAAAUGCGUAGAUAUAGGAAGGAACACCAGUGGCGAAGGCGACUACCUGGACUGAUACUGACACUGAGGUGCGAAAGCGUGGGGAGCAAACAGGAUUAGAUACCCCUGUAGUCCCUGUCUCUUAUAC